UCCUGGAUAGUUAAAUGGUUAUAACACAUGAAACUCAUGUAUUUGCCGGUUCGAAUCCGCAUCCAGGAU
rnacentral:tRNA from 2 species